rnacentral:misc_RNA from 1 species
GCUGCCGCCAUCAUCGGCCAAGACCGGCAGCGUUUGGGCCCAGAGCUCCAACUUUCCUCAGGUGUUUGGAAGAUUCUAGAAGGCCCAUUGCAUAUUCUGUAAAUUCUAGAACACUCACUUCACGUUCUACAGAUGAUGGAAGGUAACUGUGAAUUCUUGAUAAUUUCUCUAAACUUCAUGUAACUCCUCUUAACUGCUUUCUUUGGUAAUCACCCACUAUCAAUAACUUCUUUUGUAAAUUAUCUUCAAACCUUUAAUUAAUUAAACCAAUUAAAUAAAAUUAAUUAAAAAAACCAAUUUAAUUGAUCUUUGAUCUGAAAAUAAAUGAAUAAAAUUAAUUAUUUAGUUAAUUUAAUGAACAUUAACACAACCGGUCACCUGCUAAUCUCGAAAAAGAGCAGGGAGUAAGUACAAGUCCUUUGCCAUACUCUGCAACAAAUUUCUACAAUUACUGCUAAAAGACCGAAACAAAAUUGCAAUAUUAACGGAAUUGUCAAAAUAUCUAUAUAUAUAAUUGAGUGGUCAAUCCAUGUGAAAUAGAUGUUUGACCAUUCGAUAUGUACGCUCACUGUUGAGUAGACGUGCCCACGGAGGAGUUUUUCAAACCAUUGACCAUCUUGGACCUUCUUCUCCUAUUUAAAAUAGAGAACGCUUGCUUUAGUAAAGUCCAGAAGACCAUAAGGUUUCACACACCAAAUGAGUGCAAGUCACUAAAAUUUAGGGUCUAAGAAACUGAAUUUAAUAUGCUGAGAACAUCGAAUUAGUAAAAUAUUGUCAAAUGUGAUUAUAUAUAGAUAGGGUUAUUGACUGUGCGAUAUGUUUAUGCCUUUCAAACAAUUUAGGCUUAUUAGAAUUUGUCAUAUAUAAUUUAAGCUUAUUAGAAGAGUUUUGCUUAUUUAAAAAAAAAUUACUCAUUUAAUUUACAACUCUUGAAUGUUCCUCUACCUAAUCUUAACGUCUUGAUGAUAAUAACGAUCUCGAUUUCCACUAAAGAGCACAUAAAAAUCAAAUUCUAAAAUUAGGGAGGUCUUUCAUGCUUGAAGCCAUGUCUUUAACUAUGCAUGCUUGAAGCCAUGCCUUUCUUACUUGUUUUAUAAUUCAAUCACUCACUCAUUAAUGAUUAAUUAAAUCAUAAUUUAAAAAUAUACAAACACGUCUCAUAAAUAAGUUAAUGUUAUAGCUUAUUAAUCCUUACUUUAUUUUUCUCUCUCCCUU